rnacentral:rRNA from 1 species
GAGUUUGAUCAUGGCUCAGGACGAACGCUGGCGGCGUGCUUAACACAUGCAAGUCGAACGGGAAACUUUAUUUCGGUAAAGGAUCUAGUGGCAAACGGGUGAGUAACGCGUAGGCAACCGGCCCUUAGGAUGGGGACAACGGCCCGAAAGGACCGCUAAUACCGAAUGCACUCUAACUUCCGCAUGGAAGAAAGAGGAAAGAUGGUGCAAGCCAUCGCCGAAGGAAGGGCCUGCGUCUGAUUAGCCAGUUGGUGAGGUAACGGCUCACCAAAGCAACGAUCAGUAGCCGGUCUGAGAGGAUGAACGGCCACAAUGGGACUGAGACACGGCCCAUACUCCUACGGGAGGCAGCAGUGGGGAAUCUUCCGCAAUGGGCGAAAGCCUGACGGAACAACGCCGCGUGAGUGAAGAAGGUCUUCGGAUCGUAAAGCUCUGUUGUUGGGGACGAAAGGGAAAGGGAGGAAAUGCCCUUUUAAGACG